CGGAGGCCACGGCCCUGGCCAGUUCUCUAUCAUCUCGAGUCAGUUAUAAAUUACACGAUAUAUAUAUAUAUAUAGUACUUUAUUUACUCUAUGGCUAGAAUAGGAAGCAGACAUUAACUUUACUCUAUUGGUUGUUUUUUGCGCCAAAAAUAAUUAGUUGCACUUGUAAUUUUUCUUGAGUUUCUGGUUUACGGUUUUUAAAAUUCUGUUAAGAGUUAAUCUUAAAAUAUUGUAACAUUGUAGGAGACAUGUCUAGUAGAAGGCGAAGAGUAAGAGAAGUGGAAAACGAGGAAGAGGUGGCCGAAUCUGUAGUUCAGAGUCGGAAGAGGAAGAAGAAAGGAAAACUAGACGAAGAAAAUGAUGAAGGCAGUGGCAACAUCUUGACUACGCAGCCAACCAACAAUGAAAAUGAUGAUAUUUUGUCCAAGGAUGUUAUCACUUUAGUUGUUGAACACUGCGUGUCCUGACGAGUGUUCGGCCGCAGGGCUUCAGAUCUGAUCGCAGAACUGAAAACUGUGUGGCCUAACCUCAAAGCAACUCUGAACCCCACCAAACCACGAAGAGGCUCCUUCGAGUUCACAGUUACCGACGGCAAUGGGAAAGGCGUGCUGGUGUGGAGCGGCAUCAAGAGGGGCCCGCCGCGCAAGGAGAAGUUCCCCAGCGGAGAGCAGCUGAUAGAGGCCGUGCGUGCGGCGCUGUGAAGCACAUAGCCGUGCCGUGCCGUGCCGUGCCCAGCUCCGUGCCGCCUGCCCGUCGCAGGUCCGGCCACCGUGUGACGGUCGUGUGGAAAGAACGCCAGUUCACCGCUAAACCUGAUGUUCGUGGCGACUGCAACGGGCCGACUGCACUGGAACUUUACACCGCAGCUAGACUUUUUAUUUUUAAAAAAUUAAUUAAAAACCAUGAUAUGACUUUCUUAAUAUUGGUGUUGGGGGUCUUGGGAUUUUUUUUUUAUGUUGAUGUUUCAUAAUGUUCUUGCGAUUGUUACAAGUUACAUAUGUGACCCAUUUGGGAUAUUGCAGUUUGUUUGUAAACAGAAAUAAAACUUUUUUAUAUUCUUAUUAAAAGUAUGCUUAAAUUUUA